GAAAACAAACAAAUAGUAGAGCUAACUUUUCUCUUUAAAAUCCCAAAUUCCCAAUGCAUAGUUCAAAAUCAAUUCUACUUCUCCUCAUCGUUGUUAAUGUCUCCCUUUUGAAAUUGAUUGAAUGUCUUUGAAUGGAUUGAGUUAGUGAUUACUAGAAAUAGGGUUUGGUUCAAGAUCUUCGGUCGAGAUAGACGACUGAUGUGUUUGGCGUUGUCCCUUAAUAUCUCCAUCACUGUGAAGUCAUUGAAACAAGCGAAAAUGGCAUUACCUGUUAAUGUGAGAAUGCACCAUAAGGGUUAUUUUAUUAGGGACCCAAAACUGAGAUAUGCAAAUGGGAAACUUGAGAUGUUUCUUGUAAAUAACAUUGACAGGCUCCAUUAUGGGAGGCUUCAAAAAAUGACAAAUUAUCUAUCCUACAAAGUUAGAGUAACUAUUUAUUGGGCAAAGCCUAGGUAUGAUUUGGAAAAAGGGUUGAGAGUGGUCAAUGAUGAUAGGGUUAUCGUUGACAUUUUAAGCCUUUAUGGUGAAAAUGAUUUUAUAGAUUUUUAUCUAGAACAUGGCAUUCAUGAACCUAAGGUACUCAGUGAUGGGGCUAAUCAAGCACCUUUUAUGGAAUGGUAUCAACCUAAAAACCUUGAAAAGGCACCUGUUGAUGAUAUUCAUAUUAGUGGAAAGGAAGAAGUACGAGACAGAAGAGCUGGAUAGAGCAAUGAGAAUAUUGGUGAUUAUGAUGUUACCCAUUCUCUUGACUUAGAUGAGGUUGAUAUUAAUGGUGGAUUUGUUAUUCAUGAAGAUUGUGAAGCAGACUCUAUAGACAUAGAAUUUCUAAGUGUUAAGGAGAAAAAAGGAGAAAAAUGCGUCAUAAAGUGCCAAAAAAUAAUGAUGAUAGUGGAAGUGAUUUCAAUUCAAUGAUGAGGUUGGGGAAGAAAGUGAAACAAAGGAAGAACAAACAGAAGUAAGUAAUGAUGAAACAACAGUUGCCAUGAAGAGGAAAGAGUAAAUGAGCCUAUUGGGAAUGACACUGACUAUUAGGACUCUCAUAAUGAGGGUAGUGCAAAAGCAAAGUAUAAUGAUGAUGGUGAGGUAUAAAUUCAAAGGAGAACCUCUAAGAGAGUGGUGUAUGAUCUAGAAUGUGAUCGCCCAUCCUUUGUUUUAGCAAUAGUUUUUGCAAAUAAUGCUGAAUUAAAGGAUGUAAUUAUAAAGUAUGCAGUCAACAAGGGAGUUAAAGUACACUUUUCAAAAAGUGAACCAACUAGGGUGAGAGUAGUGUGCAAGAAGGGGUGCCCCUAAACUAUAAUGGCUACUUACGAUACAAGGAGUGGGGACUUCAAGAUUAAAACAUAUAAUCCCUAAUAUAAAUGUUUCAGGGUCUACUAGAAUAAGAUUGUGAUGGUUAAAUUUUUAAUCAACUAUUACAAGACCAAAAUUCAAAACCAUCCAGGAAUGAUAUUUAAAGACCUUAAAAACAAGGUUAAAGUAGAUUUAAAGGUUGAUAUUGGUGUGAAUAUGUGCAAAAGGGUUAAGAGGGCAAUUAAAAGGGAGUUGGCUGACAAUUAUAGACUUGAAUAUGGCUAAUUGUGGGAUUAUGCAGAGGAAUUAAGGUUGUCUAACCCUGGCACAACUAUCCAACUGGCAUUUGAAUAGGAUACUAAUAGAUUUAGUUAGUUUUAUAUUUGUUUUGAUGCAUUUUAGAAAGGCUGGCUAGGUGGAUGCCAACUAAUUAUUGGUCUAGAUGGUUAUUUGUUAAGGAUAAUUUGCAAGGGGGAGUUGAUAUCAGAAAUAUGAUGGGAUGUAAAUAAUCACAUGUUUCCAAUUGCAUAGGCUGGGUGUAGUAUGAGGCAUGUAAUAAAUGGACAUGGUUCUUAAGGUUCCUGAAGACAGAUUUAAAUAUCACAGACAUAUCAUACCUUACCAUUAUCAGUGACAUGCAAAAGGUAACUGCCAAAGUUAUAUAUUUUUUUUUCCAUUUUUUUGUUUAUAAUAUGUUUUAGUGGUUUAAGUGGUUAAUUGGACACUUUAGCUAUGCUAACAUAUAUAUUAUACCUUAUUGAGUAGGUAUUGAUAUAAGUAGUUAAGGAUGAACUCCCUAAAUUUGAACAUAGGUGAUGGCAAUGCAUAUUUUUAGUAAAUGGCAAAAAAGAUGGAGGGGUCAAGACCUAAGAAAGCAAUUUUAGAGAUGUGCUAAGAGUUGUUAUCUUGAAGAUUUUUAUGAUUAGUUGGAAAAUAUGGACAAUAUAGCUUCUAGUAGUGUUGAAGCACUCCUAACAUACCCUCCACCCACAUGGUGUAGAGCAUCUUCUCUUUCAGUUGCAAGUCGAGAGUAGUUAACAACAACAUGUGCGAGGCUUUUAAUAGAAGCAUCCUGCAGGCAAGGUCUAAGCACAUAAUCAUUAUGCUUGAGGAAAUCAGGGUAUAUGUAAUGAAUAGGAUACACAAAAAAUAGAUGAAUGCAACAAAUGGUUCUCAUUCAUCAGUCUAGCUAUAACUAAAAGGCUAGAAGACAAUAUGGAGAGAGCUUUUAAUUUCCACUUAGAAUGGAAUGGAGAUAAAGGGUUUGAAGUGUUUGAGAGGAAGGAUAGGCAUGUAGUUGACAUUCAAAACAUUUGUGCACAUGUAGGUCCUGGGACCUUACUAGAAUUCCAUGUCCGCAUGGAAUUUGUUGCAUAUAUCAUAAUCGCCUAAGUCUUGCAUAUGUAAGUCACUGGUAUCGUAAAGAGACAAACCUCAAGAGUUAUGAGCAUGUGAUGCAAACACUGAAGGGGAGGAGCAUGUGGAUGAAAAUGAACAAGGCUCCAUUUAAGCCUCUAGAAGUGAAAAAAUCACCUAAAAAACCUAAGAAGUUGGGAAGGAAAGAUAAGGAUGAACCCAAAAAAGUUAGCAAACUUUCACGGAAAGGAGCGCAAAUGACAUGCAGCAGGUGUAAUCUUUCUAGCCAUAAUACCAGGUCCUACAAAGCACCUGCUACAGAGAGCACUACCACAAGUUGGAAAAGGAAGAGAAUCAAGGAGCAGUCAACAGGAGUUACCUCACAACCACAACCAAGUGAGGAAAAUACACAACAAGGCACAUGCCAUGAAGUUCCUACUGAAGCAAUGGGUACCACAGAGACAAUUGUAGGGAUUGAUGAAAAUCACGUUUACUCUCAAAUUAAAUUCACAAUCAAUUCUACUUGAUAUAAGAUUGCUUGCUAAGCUUAAAAGAGCAUUUAUGGGAGGAUAAUGCAUUAGAACCUCAAUUUUUAGAGUUUAAUUGUUAAUUUAAUUUUUUUGGCAUCUGAAGCUCUUUUUUUAUUUUUAUUUUUUAUUUUUAUAAUUCAGUCAUGCAUAAUUCUGCAUAAAUUUUGGAUUCUUUAGUUGUGCAAGAGUUUAAAAGGGCAUUUAAAUUGAGUUCUAUGCUAGCAAGUCACUACCAAAUGUGACAAUCUACUCAUCUACAUGAUUUCAAGUGGAUUGAACCAUAAGAUCCAACUUGCUUAAUAUUUCUGUUAUGAUCAUAGAUUACUUCAAUUUAGCGCACUAAGUUUUUGGU